UGAAACAUCUCAGUAGCCGGAGGAAAGGACAUCAACAGAGACUCCCCUAGUAGUGGCGAGCGAACGGGGACCAGGCCAGUGCCGAUCAUGAUUGAACCAGAACCAUCUGGAAAGUUGGACCAGAGCGGGUGACAGUCCCGUAUGGGUAGGAGAUUGAUCGGACUUGAGUAGGGCGGGGCACGUGAAACCCUGUCUGAACGUAGGGGGACCACCCUCUAAGCCUAAGUACUCCCAUGUGACCGAUAGUGAACAAGUACCGUGAGGGAAAGGUGAAAAGCACCCCGAUGAGGG
rnacentral:rRNA from 1 species